rnacentral:tRNA from 1 species
GCCUGGGUGGCUCAGUCAGUUGAGUGUCUGACUUCAGCUCAGGUCAUGAUCUCACAGUCCGUGAGUUCGAGCCCCACGUUGGGCU